rnacentral:rRNA from 1 species
GAUGAACGCUGGCGGCGUGCUUAACACAUGCCAGUCGAACGGAAAGGCCCAAGCUUGCUUGGGUACUCGAGUGGCGAACGGGUGAGUAACACGUGGGUGAUCUGCCCUGCACUUCGGGAUAAGCCUGGGAAACUGGGUCUAAUACCGGAUAGGACCACUUCUUGGAUGUUGUGGUGGAAAGUUUUUUCGGUGUGGGAUGAGCUCGCGGCCUAUCAGCUUGUUGGUGGGGUCAUGGCCUACCAAGGCGUCGACGGGUAGCCGGCCUGAGAGGGUGUACGGCCACAUUGGGACUGAGAUGCGGCCCAGACUCCUACGGGAGGCAGCAGUGGGGAAGAUUGCACAAUGGGCGCAAGCCUGAUGCAGCGACGCCGCGUGGGGGAUGACGGCCUUCGGGUUGUAAACUCCUUUCGCUAGGGACGAAGCGUUUUGUGACGGUACCUGGAGAAGAAGCACCGGCUAACUACGUG